rnacentral:rRNA from 1 species
AACACGUACGAAUCUACCCUCGACGUGGGGAAUAACAGCGCGAAAGCGCUGCUAAUUCCGCAUACGUCCCGCCCUUUUGGGCGGGGGAAAGCCGCAAGGCGCGCGGGGAUGAGCGUGCGGCCCAUCAGGUCGUUGGCGGGGUGACGGCCCACCAAGCCGAUGACGGGUAGCUGGUCUGUGAGGACAGACAGCCAGACUGGGACUGAGACACGGCCCAGACUCCUACGGGAGGCAGCAGCAAGGAAUUUUCCCCAAUGGGCGCAAGCCUGAGGGAGCAACGCCGCGUGCAGGAUGACGGCCUUCGGGUUGUAAACUGCUUUUCGGAGGGAAGAAUUUGACGGUACCUCCGGAAUAAGCCCCGGCUAACUCUGUGCCAGCAGCCGCGGUAAGACAGAGGGGGCAAGCGUUGUCCGGACUGACUGGGCGUAAAGCGUCCGCAGGUGGCGUGGCAAGUACGGUGUGAAAUCAGGCGGCUCAACCGCCUGCGGUCCUCGUAGACUGUCAUGCUGGAGGACUGGAGAGGUCGGUGGAAUUGCCGGUGUAGUGGUGAUAUGCGUAGAUAUCGGCAGGA